CUCGAGUUUUUCAGCAAAGAUAGAGUUUUGAUCCUGGCUCAGAACGAACGCUGGCGGCAGGCCUAACACAUGCAAGUCGAACGGGCAUAGCAAUGUGUCAGUGGCAGACGGGUGAGGAACACGUGGGAACAUGCCCUUUGGUUCGGAACAACUCAGGGAAACUAGAGCUAAUACCGGAUAAGCCCUUAUGGGGAAAAAUUUAUCGCCGAAGGAUUGGCCCGCGUCCGAUUAGCUUGUUGGUGAGGUAACGGCUCACCAAGGCGACGAUCGGUAGCUGGUCUGAGAGGAUGAUCAGCCACAUUGGGACUGAGACACGGCCCAAACUCCUACGGGAGGCAGCAGUGGGGAAUAUUGGACAAUGGGCGCAAGCCUGAUCCAGCCAUGCCGCGUGAGUGAUGACGGCCCUAGGGUUGUAAAGCUCUUUCACCCACGACGAUAAUGACGGUAGUGGGAGAAGAAGCCCCGGCUAACUUCGUGCCAGCAGCCGCGGUAAUACGAAGGGGGCUAGCGUUGUUCGGAUUUACUGGGCGUAAAGCGCACGUAGGCGGAUCUUUAAGUCAGGGGUGAAAUGCCGGAGCUCAACUUCGGAACUGCCUUUGAUACUGGAGAUCUUGAGUUCGAGAGAGGUGAGUGGAACUGCGAGUGUAGAGGUGAAAUUCGUAGAUAUUCGCAAGAACACCAGUGGCGAAGGCGGCUCACUGGCUCGAUACUGACGCUGAGGUGCGAAAGCGUGGGGAGCAAACAGGAUUAGAUACCCUGGUAGUCCACGCCGUAAACUAUGGAUGCUAGCCGUUAGGCUGCUUGCUGCUUAGUGGCGCAGCUAACGCUUUAAGCAUCCCGCCUGGGGAGUACGGUCGCAAGAUUAAAACUCAAAGGAAUUGACGGAUCUUUCUAGA
rnacentral:rRNA from 1 species